rnacentral:snRNA from 1 species
GAAUGUGAGGAUGAAUUGGCUACAUCUGUCACUCUACUGAUCUCCAGGGUUGAUUUGGCUGAUCUGACUGGCUAGGCAGGUGUCCUUUUCUUUCUUCACCUCUCCAUGUGUGCCCCUCCCGAAGCUGCAUGCUAGGUCGAAGAGGGCAAACUUCCCAAUAGAGGAAGGCUGUUCUUUGGGCGAGGGCAUGAGUAGCUGCAUUCCCCUGCUAGAACCUCCAGAUAAGCUCUCAAGUACCAUUUGUAGGAGAACAUAGGACAAUCAAGCUUCCAAGACUCCAGAUACAUCCAAAUGAGUGCUACAUAUGGCAGUCUGUCUUU